rnacentral:rRNA from 1 species
CGCGAAUUCGCCCUUCGGGGUGCAGCAGGCGCGAAAACUCUACAAUGCAGGCAACUGCGAUAGGGGAACAUCGAGUGAUACUCAUCUUGGGUAUCUGUCCUCCCGUCUAAAAAACGGGAGUUAGCAAGGGCCGGGCAAGACCGGUGCCAGCCGCCGCGGUAAUACCGGCGGCUCGAGUGGUGGCCGAUAUUAUUGAGUCUAAAGGGUCCGUAGCCGGCUUUGCAAGUCUUUUGGGAAAUCCAGCGGCUUAACCGUUGGUCGUCCGGGAGAUACUACAUUGCUUGGGACUGGGAGAGGUAGGAGGUACUCAGGGGGUAGGAGUGAAAUCCUGUAAUCCUUUGGGGACCACCGGUGGCGAAGGCGUCCUACCAGAACAGGUCCGACGGUGAGGGACGAAAGCUAGGGGCACGAACCGGAUUAGAUACCCGGGUAGUCCUAGCCGUAAACGAUGCUCGCUAGGUGUCACAACAAUCGUGAAUUGUUGUGGUGCCGUAGGGAAGCCGUGAAGCGAGCCACUUGGGAAGUACGACCGCAAGGUUGAAACUUAAAGGAAUUGGCGGGGGAGCAC